CGGGUACGGCAGCGGGGUGGUCACGAACCGGGUCAGGGUCGGAAGGCAGCAGCCCUAAGAGAUACGCCUCGCGUGUCGUACAGUUUG
rnacentral:SRP_RNA from 1 species